rnacentral:rRNA from 1 species
CUGGGAAUUUUGCGCAAUGGGGGAAACCCUGACGCAGCAACGCCGCGUGGGUGAUGAAGGCCUUCGGGUUGUAAAGCCCUUUUGUCCGGGACGAAUAAAAUGACGGUACCGGAAGAAAAAGCACCGGCUAACUCUGUGCCAGCAGCCGCGGUAAUACAGAGGGUGCAAGCGUUAUUCGGAAUCACUGGGCGUAAAGCGUACGUAGGCGGUUUGGUAAGUCUGAUGUGAAAUCCCCCGACUUAAUCGAGGAAGUGCAUUGGAAACUACUAGACUAGAGUAUAGGAUGGGAGAACGGAAUUCCUGGUGUAGAGGGGAAAUUCGUAGAUAUCAGGAGGAACAACGGUGGCGAAGGCGGUUCUCUGGACUAUUACUGACGCUGAGUGUACGAAAGCGUGGGGAGCAAACA